UAUUGUGUGUGUGUGUGUGUAUAUUGUGUGUGUGUGUGUGUAUGUAUAUUGUGUGUGUAUGUAUAUUGUGUGUGUGUGUGUGUGUGUGACAGCAGUCCACUGCCUCCGUGGGAAUGGUGUGAGAAAAACCGAACACUGACCUCUGAACAGAUGACAGCAAAGAGAGCGUAUGUCUGGUCUAAGGGCGUAGGGUUUGGUCUCAUUCUCUUAUGCUCUGCUAUAAUACUGCUUCGUGAAUACAUCUCGAAUCAAUGCUGUGUAGCACCCAAUCCACAGAGAGAUGACAGAAAUGCUGGGGCACAGACGAGGGAUGGGCUUGAAACGAUUCCGAUGUAAGGUGCUGCUCGGACGGAGCAAAACCCUGGACAGUAGACACCUGCACAUACAAGCGAACCAUCUGAAACAACUCCACUGCAGGACCCUGCCGGGACUCAGGAAAGCAGAACACAGCAGACACAGCACGUAUAAAUUCUGCACAGCUUUUUAGAACUAAGAGCUAAGAAAGCAUCAGCUCAUCACUGUAACAUUUCAUCCUCUCUGAAACCUUUUCACGCUUUUUAUGAGUAGACCUUUCUUGCAUCGCGUAUAUCUUCUUUUAUGUCAUUUACUGGAGGAAAGGUGGUUGACUUAUUUUCAAACUUAAACUUCUACUCUGUUAUAACAGUUCAUUUUUUCUGCAAGUUGUGUUUAAUGGAUUUUCCUGAAGUUUCUUUAUUUCACUGGAUGUUGAUUUGAUUUAUUUUAUUUUCUUCCUGGUAUAUGGGCUGACCGUGCCGCCGGAACCACGGUGGUGAGUGGGCACUUGACCCACCACUGAGUUCAGAACGCGAACAUAAAAACCUCUUUCCCUGAACUGCAUUAUGUGCUGACCAGCACAAACAGGCAGAGUAAAACAUCAGAAUCUCCAUUUCAGCUGGGAGGUGCUGUUGGAGCUGCCUUGGUUGAUGGAGACUUGUUGAACUUUCCUUUAGUUUUGUUUCGAUAUGCAACUCCACCUGAAUUCAGGCAACUGAACUACGCUAAUUCACAAGGUACUUCAACAUUACAGUGCAUUUUUUAUCCUGUGAUCAUUUUUUUGUACUGUCUGCACAAUAUGCUGCGUCCUGGUGGCACAGCGGUAACGUCACGGACUGUAGGGUUUUUCCACGAGCUUGUCUUCCAACACCAGAGAGAUGCUACAUGCCAGGCUUCUGUAAAUUAGAAAGACUUUGGCAUGGAUGUUAAUUCAGGGAUGAUUUGAUUUUUUUUUUAGUACAUCAAAUAACUCAUUUUGUGUUACUAUUUACUGGGUGCAUCAUAUUAACCCAAUCUAACAGAGCACAUUUCAUAUCAUAAACACGUAUUUUAGAUUUAUUGCCUUUUUUCACUUUUAUUUUGUCUAUGAGCUUUCAUCGUAUACUUUGGAAAAUCGGUUUUGUUGAGAGUUUAAAUAAAAAACUCAAUUAAACAUCAA